GGAGGAUGAUCCUGUUCUAGAGGGGGAAUUCCAGGACGAGGGACUUGAUGUCAGAGCAGACGUCAUCAACCGCCACUUUAGACGGUGAUGCUCUGGGCAUUGGGUCCUAUAGCGAGUCUUUGCCACCUGGUUUUUAUAGAGGACAUCAGAUGGGAGAUGACUUAAUAUAAAGACUGAAAGGGAACAAUUUGAAGCCUGACAGUGAAGAUUUCCAAGACUGACAGUGGGGAAAAAGCCAAGAUUGAAAUUGAAGUAUACC